UGCUUGCCAAUAACAAAGAGAAACGUGGCCUUGCAUUGGAUGGCAAACUGAAAGAUGAAGACACCAACCUGGCUUCUUCAACAAUUCUGCUACCCAACAUGGAUAAACAAAUGCAAGGCCUUGCUGUUUCCUACAAAAUUAAGGUUACCCUCAUGAUGGGAGGUGGUCUCUUGGGAAGCCUAACAUUAAGUGAUAUUACCGCUGAACUCCCCCUGGUUCUGAUGUCACCUAAACCAGCAGAAGUGACUGAUAUCAACCUUGAAUAGAAUACAGCCAGUGAUGGAGAGGAGCAAGUCAGAAGGAGAGACACUCAGGAAUAGAUGCAGAUUCCAAACAACCUCAUUUCAUGAGCCGUAGACUAUAGACCCUAGUUGCAAAUACCUGUAAAAGGAAUUAGCUGUAUAAUGUUAAACAUGGGCUAAAAGCCUUGUACACUAAGAUGAACUCACUGACACUGAAAUCAAGCGUUGUCCUGAUGCUGAUGAUGUAAUGUUUAUUUCUUCUGCCUUUAUCAUGGGAUCUCAGAUGAAUAAUGUUUCAGUUUCUUUUUGUAUGUGAAUGUAAAAUAUAAAGGAGUAAUGAACAACUUUAAAUGUAUUAUAAUUAUAUUAAAUCGUAUUUUGUUUUUGUUUUUCUGUCUGUGGUGAUGGUGGAAAUUAAUAAACAUUGGACUGUUAUUUGGACCA